rnacentral:rRNA from 1 species
UCCUACGGGAGGCAGCAGUGGGGAAUUUUGGACAAUGGGCGAAAGCCUGAUCCAGCCAUGCCGCGUGAGUGAAGAAGGCCUUCGGGUUGUAAAGCUCUUUUAGUCGGAAAGAAAGAGUUGCAAUGAAUAAUUGUGAUUUAUGACGGUACCGACAGAAAAAGCACCGGCUAACUACGUGCCAGCAGCCGCGGUAAU